CACGUAGGGGGCAAGCGUUGUCCGGAUUUAUUGGGCGUAAAGAGCUCGUAGGUGGUUCGGUAAGUCGGGUGUGAAACCUCCAGGCUCAACCUGGAGACGCCACCCGAUACUGCUGUGGCUAGAGUUCGGUAGGGGAGACUGGAAUUCCUGGUGUAGCGGUGAAAUGCGCAGAUAUCAGGAGGAACACCGGUGGCGAAGGCGGGUCUCUGGGCCGAUACUGACGCUGAGGAGCGAAAGCGUGGGGAGCGAACAGG
rnacentral:rRNA from 1 species